GACGAACGCUGGCGGCGUGCUUAACACAUGCAAGUCGAACGGAAAGGCCCUGCUUUUGUGGGGUGCUCGAGUGGCGAACGGGUGAGUAACACGUGAGUAACCUGCCCUUGACUUUGGGAUAACUUCAGGAAACUGGGGCUAAUACCGGAUAGGAGCUCCUGCUGCAUGGUGGGGGUUGGAAAGUUUCGGCGGUUGGGGAUGGACUCGCGGCUUAUCAGCUUGUUGGUGGGGUAGUGGCUUACCAAGGGUUUGACGGGUAGCCGGCCUGAGAGGGUGACCGGCCACAAUGGGACUGAGGUACGGCCCAGACUGCUACGGGAGGCAGCAGUGGGGAAUAUUGCACAAUGGGCGGAAGCCUGAUGCAGCAACGCCGCGUGCGGGAAGACGGCCUUCGGGUUGUAAACCGCUUUCGCCUGUGACGAAGCGUGAGUGACGGUAAUGGGUAAAGAAGCACCGGCUAACUACGUG
rnacentral:rRNA from 1 species